rnacentral:rRNA from 1 species
AGAAUCAACGCUGGCGGCGUGCCUAACACAUGCAAGUCGAACGAGAAAGGGGAGCAAUCCCUGAGUAAAGUGGCGACCGGGUGAGUAACACGUGACUAACCUACCCUCGAGUGUGGAAUAACAUCGGGAAACCGAUGCUAAUACCGCAUAACAUCGGCGCUUUUAAGAGAUGCCGAUCAAAGGAGCAAUCCGCUUGAGGAGGGGGUCGCGGCUGAUUAGCUAGUUGGCGGGGUAACGGCCCACCAAGGCGAAGAUCGGUAGCCGGCCUGAGAGGGCGCACGGCCACACUGGAACUGAAACACGGUCCAGACUCCUACGGGAGGCAGCAGUGGGGAAUUUUGCGCAAUGGGGGAAACCCUGACGCAGCAACGCCGCGUGGAGGAUGAAGCCCCUUGGGGCGUAAACUCCUUCGACCAAGACGAUAAUGACGGUACUGGUGGAAGAAGCACCGGCUAACUCUGCGCCAGCAGCCGC